AUGAAGAUGAAGACGAGAAGAUACAAGCUGCUAGAGAUGAAGAGGCAAAGCAUGACGGUUACCGGCAGUUAUCGAGCAUCAAGGAGAAAAUACGCGAGAACUGUCUUCAAAGAGGCGAGCAAUCUGGCUAGCACGGAUAGCUAGAAGUGACCUUAUAUCCGAGUCCAGUUUGGCCAAUCUACGGAUCUGUUCGGAUCAUUUCAUUAAAGAAGGAGUUGGAUGAGGUAGUGCAGACAUGGAAUACCCACAAGAUCAGACCGCGACCUGGCCAAGAUGUGCAUAGUGGUCGUCCUGUUCUGAUGUACACAGUCCCAAGUUUGUAUGAUGCAGAGGAUAAGCUUAAACUCGUGGAGCCUGAAGAAGUAGCUGUGUGUAAGGAAGAGUGCACACCGAAGAGCCAGAUCCCUCGUGAUGAGACUGUUUACGAUCUCUCUGUGUUACUCAUGCAGGAGAAUCAAUGGGGCCAUCCUUAGAACAGUGAUACUGGAAAAUAUCUAACACCAUUGCCAUAGAAAGUGUUAGUGUGGUAUCAUAGUGUAGCGGGAUGAAAGUCCCGGGUCCCAAUUGAAAAGACGUUCCCGCUAGCUUGGCUAACGGGGAGUUCCCCUUUGGCUGACCUGGUAGAGGAACGGUCUUUUGUUGCAAGCCGCGUGGGUUCGAUCCCCACCGUCGUCCCGGCCACGAAGGUCCUGCUGCUUCAAUCGUAUGUCAAUGAAACGGGUCCUGUAGGAUUUUUGUGCUAAAAUGGAUUUUUUGCUUUUUACUUAAAGCAGUAUAGGCCCAUAAUGGUUCAAGGUGAUCCUGGGGUAAAAUUUACCAGAUGCUCAGAUUUUGUUGAAACUGGUGAGAAGUUGUUUGUAUUGUGUCAUAGGGUCCCCCCACCCCCACACAAAAGAGCUAUUUUACGGUGUGUGGCAUUUGAUUGGAUAAUUAAAUAGCAGAAUGUGUCAAAGGUCUACAUGGUCUAUGGGGGCCACUAAGACUUUCCCUGGAUGUUGCAGAUGGUGCCAUCACCAAAUCAGUUAAAAUGCUUUUUCUGCUUCAGUAUGACAAGAGAAAUCAUUUGACACCACUUUCAAUAUCAUCUGAGCAUUUACCCCAGGAUGACCUUGAAGCUUUAAAGCCCUAUACCUGUGUAAAUAUCAGCCAGAACCUAGACAAACUAUAUUUAUUUAUUACUAUUAUUAUAAUCCUCUCAACAAGACAGAUAUAUUGGAGUAUAUUUGAAAUUGAUUAACUUGAUUUUCAAUUUACCUGUGUACUAACCUUUGUCCCCUUGCAGGAGAGAUGUAGGGGUCUGAAAAUUUGAACUCCGUCAUUUUAUGACAGUCUUGGUCCUGUUGAAACCCAAGCAGCAACAAAAUCAAUUUUAGCAUGAAAAUCCUAUGGGAAUACACACCAUACCUCACUAUGUGCAUGUUUUGAUGGAUUUAUUUAUUUUUGUUUUGGAAUGAUAUAAACACUGUUCUUGUGCGUGAUUAUAGUAACAGCUAAACUUAAAUGUGUUAAACAUGUAGAAAUGCUUUACACAAUUGUUUUGGUUAAAAAAAAAGUUCAAAAUACUUCACAAUUGGUUUACAAACUAUUCCUUUUUGCACACCUACCCAUGAACUGGUAUCCCACUUAGGUGCUCAACUUUACAUUUUAGACAGUUUUUAUACAGUUCAGAACACACUAAAAUUAAGAUGCAACAUUGUUUACUUAUAUUGCUAAAACAUCUAUUUUCAAUUCAAUUUUUCAAUUUUAUUUCCUUUAUAUAGCACCAAAUCACAGAGUUGCCUCAAAGUGCUUCACACAGGUAAGGUCUAACCUUACCAACCC